UGUUGUUUAACUAUGGCAAUAGAAAGUUAUUUUAACUUAGCUGCAUAAAUUUAUUUUAUUUUGUUAUAAAUUAGAAUUUAUUAUAUUUAUUAGCAGUUAAUUUUUUAGUAAAAUAGGUGUUUUUUAAGAAGUUAGAAUUGAAGGGGAUAGGACACAGUGCCAGCAUCCGCGGUUAAUCUGUUUUCUUUGCUUUCUGAUAGAAUUUUAUUGGGUAUUAAUUAUUAAAGUUAAGUGAAAUUUUUUUAAAUUUAUAUUUUUUACCCGGUUUUUAAUAAAUAUUUUUUAUGACAGGGAUUAGAUACCCCAUUAAUAUAGUAUUAUAAUUUUUCUUAGUUUUAUAACUAAAAUAGUUUGGCAGCGAGUGAAUCCAUUUAGGGGAAGGUGUGUUUUGAAGGACGAUCCGCCUAAUAAUUUACUUGAUUUAUGUUGGUGUAUAGCUGGUUUGAUAUUAUUGCUUAAUAGCUGAAUUUGUGUAUAAUAGUUAUUUAAGCCAAGUCUAUGUGCUGCUUAAUUAAGUUUUCAUGCGUUACAUUAAUAAUUUCAAAUUUGUAAGAUUUUGAUGAUUUAGGACUUAAUAGUAAUGUAAAAUUAAUAUGUUUAUGUGAAGAUGGUUUAACUCGGGUACACACCGCCCGUCACCCUCGAUAAUUGUUGAGGUAAGUCGUAACAAGGUAGCUUUAAAUGAAUUUGAAGCUAAUUACUAUUUAUAGUAGUAGAA
rnacentral:ncRNA from 1 species